GUAACACGUAUCCAACCUUCCCAUAACUCAGGGAUAGCCCUUUCGAAAGAAAGAUUAAUACCUGAUAGUACUUUUUCAAGGCAUCUUGAAAAAAGUUAAGAUUUAUUGGUUAUGGAUGGGGAUGCGUUCCAUUAGAUAGUGGUGAGGUAACGGCUCACCAAGUCUUCGAUGGAUAGGGGUCUGAGAGGAAGGUCCCCCACAUUGGUACUGAGACACGGACCAAACUCCUACGGGAGGCAGCAGUGAGGAAUAUUGGUCAAUGGGCGAGAGCCUGAACCAGCCAAGUAGCGUGAAAAGGAUGAAGGUCCUAUGGAUUGUAAACUUCUUUUAUAGUAGAAUAAAGUGAGCCACGUGUGGUUUUUUGUAUGUAUACUAUGAAUAAGGAUCGGCUAACUCCGUGCCAGCCGCGGC
rnacentral:rRNA from 1 species